UACUUUUUCUGCCACCACUUUUCUUCUCUUCCCGAAAAAUUGCAACAAUGGGAAUGGGUAUCUGCCACCACUUUUUCUUCUCUUCCCUAAAUUUUUUGAAAACCCUAAUUACUUUUUGCAAAAGCAUGCUCUUCUGCAGACAUGAACAUCCAUUCACGCCACCCUCUCUUGUCAUUUCCAAUAUUUGGUUUCUUCCCACACAUGGUUCUCUUUAGUUUCUCAGACAUGGUUCUCUCUUUUAAAGAAACCUUUUUUCUUCUUUUUUCACUCCCAUCUCUCUUGCAAACAAAAAUCAAAAUCAUGGAUUAAAGUGAAAUCAAGGAGAAAAGGGGUACCAAUCAGAAUAGGAGUGACAAUGGUGGCUAUGAUGUUUCUGGUAGUGUGCGGUUUUGCUGUGAUAGAUUUGCGGUGAAAGCUCCAAACUUUUUGCACAUCUUUUAUUUUUUGAUGUUUGAAAGUAAUGGGUAAAGAAAGGAGAAAAAACAAAGCAAAAUAAGAGCGACAACCACAUCAGAUUUUUCAUCAUCAAAGGAUUUAUCUGGUUUGAAAUGUAUAAUCCCCUGUUAGCAAAAAAAUGAGGUGUUGAAGACAGUGGUUAAAAAUGAAGAUGAACGAAAUGAAGAGAUUGUGUGGCCAAUUUAUUCCAUUCAAAUUUUCUGAAAUAAGUUGAAGGAAAUGAUUGGGUGUCUAACUUAUUCCAUUUAACGUAUUCCAUUCAAAUGAAGAUAAAGGAAAUGAAGAUAUUGGGCGAAAGCUCUAUCGGUGAUGCCGGCGGCCAUGCUCCGUAACCUUGCCGAGAAACUCUAUGAGAAACACAAAAAUGUUGCUCUUGAGGUUUUGUUCGCCUCUAUCUUUCAUCCCAACUGGUGUCUAUGGAUCUACAAUAUCUGCAACUGACAAUGGCCAACUUAUUCAGGUUUCACGUUUAUGACGUUAACAGUAUGUUAUGAAAGUUUACGGGUGUUCGACGGAUAGGCCUUAUGGUUUGUUUUUGGGAGGUGGUGGAAGGUUGUUGGGUGCACAUUGUGUGCAGAUUGUGGCUAUUGUUGUUUGGGUUAGUGUUACUAUGGCAACACUGUUUUUUAUUCUUCAUAAGAUGAAAUUGCUGUGGACUUCUGCUGAGGAAGAAAUGGCUGGUUUGGAUUUAACUAGCCAUGGUAGAGGUGUCGUGUUUGUUGGAAUUGAAAUUGUGGAACGACGACAUAUGAUGGGAACAAUGGAGAGAUUAAUGGUGUUAACUGAUUUUUAUAUAUGUUGCUACGGUUUAGAAAGAUAGUUGUACAAAAUAAGCCUUGAAGUUCUGUUAUAAACCAAUAAUACAUAACUAUCACUUACUAACUACAAGCAGCAGCUGGUAAUUUGAUUUAUUGAAAUGGAAAUAAGUAGUAAGCUUAAUUGUCUACAAACUAUUAUGCUUACAAUAUUAAGAAAAAAGUUUUAUUCGUCAACCUGUGUUUCCAGUUACUCACAAAUUGAUUAUCAGAACAUUUUAUUUAUUUUAUGAUCAAUAAUGAAUACAUAUUCUUCAUUGUGCUUCAAAUGUGAUUUUGAUCAAUAAUGAAUACAUAUUCUCCACAGAGAAAGAAUAUUUAUGUGCUUCAAAUGUGAUUUUGAUCCCUCCUGAAAAAAUAGGUAACAGAUAUUCAGCUCACUCUAGCCCUAUCUAAUGUUUAAUCAUUGAUGUUAAAUAUGAAGUGUUUCAAGCAAAUGAAAGAAAUGCAUGGUAGCAGUAGUCGGGAUGAUAGGCAAAAGCGAGAGCAGCAACGUCAAGAGAAAGAAUUGGCCAAGUUUGCUCAAAUGUAUCCUUUGAAUUUCUUUUGAAGAUCCAUUUGGUGAUUCACCAUUCAAGGCCGAUAGUUCUGUUGAAACUGCUCAAUCUCAACACUAUGCACAUCAGAGUAUUGAACCAUCCCAAUCAGACGGUUUUAAUGCCGAUGCAAUGUCUAAGUUUGGGUUUGGGGACUCAUUUUCUAUUGUAACAUACUUUGCAUCUGCUACCAGUGAUGCCCAACCUUUCUCUACUAACUCCAACGAAUAUUGUGAAGCUGAAAGUGAAUAUUCUGAAUAUGACAUUGGAAGUGAAACUGAUUAUCUAUUACAAUGGCUAAGGUUGUUAACUCUGGUUUGCAGAGUGAUAUAUUACAAUGGCCAUUGGAUCGUUAAUUGUCCUUGCUCAAGCACUCACUUCAGGAUUGACCAACUUACGUUUACAGCAGGUCCUUGCAGAAUUUGACAACAGAAUGUCCAACCGAAUGAGGCGUGAACCGUUGUGCCGAGGUCGCCAUUUGAAAGAUAAGUGAUCCAUACUUUUUAUCACACCUCUAUUACUGUGGCAUUUUUGCACUCUUCUGUGAUAACCAUGUCGUCGAUACAUGUUCAACAGGAUAUACCCUUGCGAACUCAUAUGUUCAACACGAUAUACCCUUGCGGACUCAUAAUCACAUGACAUGGAGUUCAGACUGUUUUUGAUAUGGAGACGACAUGUUUCGGCAUAAGAGCAUUAUCAAGGUCUCACCUAAAUAUGAACUACUUUCUAAGCUGUACUUGGGUUCCUUUUGCAGAGUUGACCUAUGCCAUCAGCCAAACGAUGAUGAUGACUAUGAAGGAAGUUUUUAUGAGGAACCUUUGCUGGGAAAAUCUCCAAAUGAAGCAAAUUUAACAAACAGGAAUAGACAUAGAAAGUAUUUUCCUAUUCGUUUUUCUCGUCUUGGGCACCGUCAAAAGAUUGUAAUUUUGGUACAGAAAGAUUUUAUUCUCAUGUGAUUGUUGUCUUAUCCAUUUGUCCUUAAUUUUGACAGAUAACCUUCACUAAUUAUUUCA